UACGAAGGGGGCUAGCGUUGCUCGGAAUCACUGGGCGUAAAGGGUGCGUAGGCGGGUUUUUAAGUCAGGGGUGAAAUCCUGGAGCUCAACUCCAGAACUGCCUUUGAUACUGAAGAUCUUUGAGUCCGGGAGAGGUGAGUGGAACUGCGAAGUGUAGAGGUGAAAUUCGUAGAUAUUCGCAAGAACACCAGUGGCGAAGGCGGCUCACUGGCCCGGUACUGACGCUGAGGCACGAAAAGCGUGGGGGAGCAAACA
rnacentral:rRNA from 1 species